GUACAUCUACGCUGCAGUUAGUGUAGUGUUGAAACUAUAGGUGAGUCCUAUCUGCAUGGAGAAUAUUGCAUUGCAUAGAAGUUCUUGUCAUUCUGGGUGGCAUCCUCCCAGAAGUGUGCCUGCAGGAAUGCCAUACAUGAAAUCCACUGUGUUCCUUUGGAACUUGCUCCCAAGUUGCCAACUUUCCUUCAUCAAUGAUGUCAUCUUGUCUUUGAACAGAUGCUCUGGAUAAUGCCUCUGGCUUUAUUGGUCAAAAGAAGGCUCUCAGAAAAGAGAAGAUACAGGAAGAUAAUUUUCCAACAAAACACACGUUGCAUGAAAACAUGAAUUGAUGUCUUUUCUUUAUUACUUUACUUCAGGGUUAAAAUCAAGAAUACUAAAAAGUAGUAUCUUUUUUUCCUAUAAA